AACAGGAAGUCCGGCGGCGAGGAUGGAGUUGUUGCUGAAGGCCCUGUAGCAGGGGUCCCUGGUGGAAUACGAGUCUUCCCUGUUUUCGGACGGCAGGCUCCUCCCAGCAGCAGGGGCGGGACAGUGGCGGUGAAGCUCCCGCAGCCAUGCAUGACGCUUUCGAGCCGGUGCCGAUCCUGGAAAAGCUUCCCCUGCAGAUCGACUGCCUGGCUGCCUGGGAGGAAUGGCUUCUUGUUGGAACCAAGCAAGGGCAUCUUCUUCUCUACAGGAUUCGGAAGGAUGUUGCAUGUAGAAAGCUGAGGCAGGAGGAUUGUUGCAAGUUCAAGACUAGCCUGGACUACAUAAUUAGUUUCAGGUUGUAACAGGUUUGAGGUAACACUAGAGAAGUCCAAUAAGAACUUUUCCAAAAAGAUCCAGCAGAUCCAUGUGGUUUCCCAGUUUAAGAUUCUGGUCAGCUUGUUAGAAAACAACAUUUAUGUCCAUGACUUACUGACAUUUCAACAAAUCACUACAGUCUCAAAGGCCAAGGGCGCAUCACUGUUCACCUGUGACCUCCAGCACACUGAGACGGGUGAGGAGGUGUUGCGGAUGUGUGUGGCAGUGAGGAAGAAGCUGCAGCUGUACUUCUGGAAGGACAGAGAAUUCCACGAACUGCAGGGAGACUUUAGUGUGCCAGAUGUGCCCAAGUCCAUGGCAUGGUGUGAAAAUUCUAUCUGCGUUGGUUUCAAGAGAGACUAUUACCUGAUCAGGGUGGAUGGAAAGGGGUCCAUCAAAGAGCUCUUCCCAACAGGAAAGCAGCUGGAGCCCUUAGUUGCCCCUCUGGCAGAUGGAAAAGUGGCUGUGGGUCAGGAUGAUCUGACUGUGGUGCUUAACGAGGAAGGCAUCUGCACUCAGAAAUGCGCCCUGAACUGGACAGACAUCCCAGUGGCCAUGGAGCACCAGCCUCCAUACAUUGUUGCAGUGUUGCCACGAUACGUGGAGAUCCGAACACUGGAACCAAGGCUUCUGGUCCAAAGCAUUGAGUUGCAAAGGCCUCGCUUCAUUACAUCAGGGGGAUCAAACAUUAUCUAUGUGGCCAGCAAUCAUUUUGUUUGGAGACUCAUUCCUGUCCCCAUGGCAACCCAAAUCCAACAGCUUCUCCAGGACAAGCAGUUUGAAUUGGCUCUGCAGCUCGCGGAGAUGAAAGAUGACUCAGACAGUGAAAAGCAGCAGCAGAUCCAUCACAUUAAGAACUUGUAUGCCUUCAACCUCUUCUGCCAGAAGCGCUUUGAUGAGUCCAUGCAGGUCUUUGCUAAACUUGGCACAGAUCCCACCCAUGUGAUGGGCUUGUACCCCGACCUACUGCCCACGGACUACAGGAAGCAACUGCAGUACCCCAACCCGCUGCCCACACUCUCUGGUGCUGAACUGGAGAAGGCUCACUUAGCUCUCAUUGACUACCUGACACAGAAACGGAGCCAGUUGGUAAAGAAGCUGAAUGACUCGGAUCACCAGUCCAGCACCUCCCCGCUCAUGGAGGGCACUCCCACCAUCAAGUCCAAGAAGAAGUUACUUCAGAUCAUUGACACCACUCUGCUCAAGUGCUACCUCCAUACAAAUGUGGCCCUGGUGGCUCCCUUGCUGCGCCUGGAGAACAACCACUGUCAUAUCGAGGAGAGUGAGCAUGUGCUGAAGAAGGCUCACAAGUACAGCGAGCUGAUCAUCCUGUAUGAGAAGAAGGGGCUCCAUGAGAAAGCUCUGCAGGUGCUAGUGGACCAGUCCAAGAAAGCAAACUCACCUUUGAAAGGCCACGAGAGGACGGUGCAGUAUCUGCAGCAUUUAGGCACAGAAAACCUUCAUCUGAUUUUUUCCUACUCAGUCUGGGUGCUGAGAGACUUCCCAGAAGAUGGCCUGAAGAUAUUCACUGAAGACCUCCCGGAGGUAGAGUCUCUGCCACGAGAUCGAGUACUCAACUUCUUGAUAGAGAAUUUCAAGGCUCUAGCCAUUCCUUAUCUGGAACACAUCAUCCACGUGUGGGAGGAGACAGGCUCACAGUUCCACAAUUGCCUGAUCCAGCUGUACUGUGAGAAAGUGCAGAGUCUGAUGAAAGACUACCUUCUGUCGCUGCCCACAGGUAAAAGUCCAGUCCCUGCUGGAGAGGAAGGAGGUGAACUGGGAGAAUACCGACAGAAGCUGCUCAUGUUCUUGGAGAUUUCCAGCCACUAUGAUCCAGGCCGGCUCAUCUGUGAUUUUCCCUUUGAUGGCCUCUUAGAAGAGCGAGCUCUCCUGUUGGGGCGCAUGGGGAAGCACGAACAAGCUCUCUUCAUCUAUGUCCACGUCUUGAAGGACACAAAGAUGGCUAAGGAGUACUGCCACAAACACUACGACCAAAACAAAGAAGGCAACAAAGAUGUGUAUCUGUCCCUGCUUCGGAUGUACCUGUCACCUCCAAGCAUUCACUGCCUGGGGCCAAUCAAACUGGAGCUCCUGGAGCCACAGGCCAACCUCCAGGCUGCCCUGCAAGUCCUAGAGCUGCACUACAGCAAAUUAGACACCACCAAGGCAAUCAACCUUCUGCCAGCAAACACUCAGAUCAAUGACAUACGCAUCUUUCUAGAAAAGGUCUUAGAAGAAAAUGCACAAAAGAAACGGUUCAAUCAAGUGCUUAAGAAUCUUCUCCAUGCGGAGUUCCUCAGGGUUCAGGAAGAGCGAAUUUUACACCAGCAGGUGAAGUGCAUCAUCACUGAGGAGAAGGUGUGCAUGGUAUGCAAGAAGAAGAUUGGGAACAGUGCAUUUGCAAGAUACCCCAAUGGGGUGGUUGUGCACUACUUCUGCUCCAAAGAGGUAAACUCAGCCGACACCUGAGCCCGGCAGCCCAAGCACUCAGCAGUGGACAGCUCAGCUUUCCCAGAGAGUUGAAGGAGCAGCCACCUUGAGAACCGUGCACUGCUACCAGGGACGAUGCUGGCCACCUUGCUCUCUGGAACAUCUCCGAAUUAACUGGACUUGUGACCUGGCAUUGCCGGCUUUUUACUAGAAGAGAUUAGUUAUAUCUUACGCUGUUAUGUUGCAGACAAUUCCAGGAGUUUAACCCCUGCUUGGACAGGAGGAAAUGCACCAUCUUGCCUUUGUAUACCAAUCAUCUGGACAAGGAGAUUUCAUCUCAAGUGUUUGUACCCAUGGGGUUGUUGACUGUGAGUUUUCUAUUACAAUAACUACACAGCUUCACAAGAUUCCCCCAGCAUGGCGGCCUGGAGAGUCCCAUGGGAGCCCAGCACUAGAGCUUGCCAGCCCACUGACCGCAGGCUGUUUAUACUGCCAGUGUUUUCUCCAGGAGUCUCCCUGCUUAUCCCUUCCGUUUUCAGUCGCCUUUUCUUCCUCACUAUUUAUUUUACCCCUGGAUCUCUUCCCUUGUACCGUCCACGCUUCCCCUCCCACUGUGUAGAGUGGGAGGUAGAGUAACUAAUGCUUAAAUGUGGCAAAUGGGAGGCCCUGAUGAGCAGGUGUCAUGGACAUUGUAUGAAGGGUCUCAGGAGCUGAACUUUUCUACUAAGAUGUGUAGGAGAACACAAGUCUCUGUAGGUGUAGGCUUUGGUACCUCCCCGGGGCAGCACUGUGCAGGGUGUGUGGUCUAGGCAGGAUCUCUCUAGAAGUGCCUGCCUCGGCCACUCACCAGCUGCUUGGACAGGCUGUUGAUUGGACAGGCUGUUGAGUCUUUAUAGGUGAGCGCUGAGCAUCUUCCUCCACUCUAGCCACUUUCUGUCCUGUUGUUUUCCUGGCCAUAGUUGUUCCUUGGCCUUUCUUCUGCAAGACUGGAGGAUCGAGCUAGGAUAGCUUGGUAAAGUAUGUCUCACUGCACACAGGGAACAGCUGACCAGAAACCAAUAGUGAUGAGAUGGCGUGCAGGUUUGUGGGGCACUGAGGAAUGGCAAAGAGUAAUGCAGGAGCAGCUCUGUUGAGUAUGUCAGGGAGCCGGCAAGAGGUACGCAGAGCAAGAGGUACACAGCAACUUCUGGCCUUGGAGGCUACAGACACCAGGCACACACAUGCACAUACAUAUAUGCAGGCCACACACCCAUACAUAAAGUUUAAAAAAAAACAGUGCUGCCCAUGAACCCAUCUGCACCACCUUAAAAUGUACUUCCUCGGGAGUGGCACUGGGAUGCCAGGCCACUCCCCAUAGGACAGGACCAGAACUUGUGCCAUCAUGUGAGUCCUGCCCUUUUACCUGGUAGGCUUGUAGCAUCCCUUCUUAUGAACUGUGUUUGAAGCAGUAGAAUAAAGCCUGUAUUUUCUCCUGGGUGGUGUGCAUACUUAAUUCUGUUUCCCUAAACUCCAUCCUUUCUUCCCAGGAUCCUGCCCUUCAUAGAGGGAACAGGGUAGCUCCAGCCUAAGGAUGAUGGAGGCUGCUUCUCAAUAAACAUAAGUGAAAAACCAA